rnacentral:tRNA from 1 species
UCUAGCUUAGUUUAAUUAAAACGUUGGCCUGUCUAGUCGGAGAUACAAUAAGGUUGUAGUUAGAU